GAGAGAGACAUGCGCGCAUAUCAAUAAGCGGAGGAAAAGAAACUAACUAGGAUUCCCUUAGUAACGGCGAGUGAAGCGGGAAGAGCUCAAAUUUGAAAUCUUCAAGGUUUACCUUGACGAAUUGUAGUUUAAAGAAGUGUUUUCUGUUGGAGUUUUGGUAAAAGUUCUUUGGAAUAGGACAUCAUAGAGGGUGAGAAUCCCGUAUUUGACCAUUACUUUCAGCUUUGUGAUACACUUUCAAAGAGUCGGAUUGUUUGGGAAUGCAGUCCAAAAUGGGUGGUAAAUUUCAUCUAAAGCUAAAUAUUGGCGAGAGACCGAUAGCGAACAAGUACCGUGAGGGAAAGAUGAAAAGAACUUUGAAAAGAGAGUUAAACAGUACGUGAAAUUGUCAAAAGGGAAGCGUUUGACACCAGUGUUGUUUUCUCGAAAAUCAAUUAAAAAAGGCAGGAUUUUGUGUUGUAUUGACUUUAUCAGCUUUCUGCACUCUUUCUUGUCUUUUUUAAUGCACUUUUCGUUUAACAAGUCAACAUCAAUUUCUUUUGUUGUAAAAGGGUCAUUGGAAGGUGGCUUUCUUUUCGGAGAAAGUGUUUAUAGCCUUUGACUCCUGCAAUCGGAGAGACUGAGGUCUGCAGCGUAGAUCCUUCGGGGUUAGAUACAUUUGUGCUAAGUUAUAGCUUUUCAUAGACAACUUGUUGACUAUGAUUAGUCAUUGUAGCUUACUCGCUUAUGCUAAUUUUACCUACGCUUAGGAUGUUGAUGUGAUACUGCGAGCA
rnacentral:rRNA from 1 species